rnacentral:lncRNA from 1 species
GGAAGAAAUAAAAGAGGGGAUGUGAAGAUGAGGCGACUUUAGGACAGAAAAAAAAAGAGACAAGGAAGCCAUGUAAACGUUUUCGGGUGGGCGUGAGGCGUUGUCAGUCUUGAACCCCGUUGUGUCAGGUAAAGAGCGCAGCCUCUUCUAGCACAAACACCGUUUCCCACAUGGAGGAAAUCACAGGGAUCAGCAACUCUAGAGUGCGAUGAAGAAGCUUCACUCUGGGAGAACUGCCUUCGUGACCACGGUGUCUCCCCUGCCAGGUAAGUGGAAAUGAGCACAUGGCCUGCAGGGACAGCACAGCCUCCUGGCCCUGGCCGGUCGCUCAGGGUCACCACCCUCCCCACUGCGGCCCCUCGCCAGUCUUCCAAACCACUCUCCACCAAAGAUUCCACCGACAGUCACCCCGCAAGACAACUCAGGCCGCCUCUCAGCAGCGGCUCCCGCCCCGCAGCCACCGCGGCCUAUCCGACGGAUGCGGAAACCGAGACCGGCUGGAUGGGAAACUCCAGGAAGGCUCCGGGGCCCUCAACUGGUCUCCGACCUUCCCCUGCAACCUGUGACACCUGCCAUAUUCCCAUCUUAGGCGAUGGCAACGCCACCCUUCCGUUUGCUCCGGGCAAAACUUCGAGAGUUCCCUCUCACUCUGGAGUUCUUUCCUCAGAUCCAAGAGCCAACUGGUCAUCAAUUCGUAAUUUCCCAUCGGCUAAGUGCGUGGGCAUUGAGCUACACGCGAGUCUCUCCACUUCUGCGGAAUGGCUACUUCGGGGUAGGGGAGGGGCCCUCCAGUGGAUUGUAAGGUGUUUAGCAGCAGCCGUCGCCCCCGCUGACGAGAUAGAUGCCAGGGGGUUAACAUUCUCCCUCCCCGCUUACCCUAGUCGUGACCUAAUGUCCCAGCGUGGAGAUGAGAGGCGUGUAAGGGCGAAGUUGCCCCCUCUUGAGAACCACUAAUGCGCGUUGUCCUGCUCUGAGCUUGUGCAGAGGACUCUCCAGAUGAAGGCUCAGGGGUCGAUCCAGCUUGAGACCCCCUCGCUCCCCCGCACAGUCAGACCUUAGGAUUGGAGGCUUUUAACAUCUCUACAUCAUGAGAUUCGAAACCUUUAGGUCUUUUCUUCCGUUCUGCCCUCCAAAUCAGCCUCUUCCGAGCCUGUUGACGAGGGCCAGCCAGGCAGAGGGCUGGGUUCGCUCAACGAGGCUCCUCUUGGCCCUCCUGGAGCUUCAGGCCUCUUUCGGUUGCAGAGAAGAUUUAUGGCUCACUUCCUUCGGCAUCCCCGGGGGCUGGUUUGCGGUGCCCGGGGAAGAAGAGGGUUUGACUGCGGUUCUCGACCCCUGGCGACCAACCUCCACCCCGGUGGGCGCGCUCUUCCAGGCUCCUGCUUGUCCCACUCGCCGGGAGUUAGGUCUCGGGUCAGCCUGAGCUCCAGAGAUGCCCAGGCCUGGAAGGACACGUAGGGGAAACCAGCUGCUCACUUUGGUCUUGUCCGCAACGGACCCCUUUCUGCCGGGAAAGA